UACGUAGGUGGCAAGCGUUGUCCGGAUUUAUUGGGUUUAAAGGGUGCGUAGGCGGCCUUAUAAGUCAGUGCUGAAAUAUCCCGGCUUAACCGGGAGGGUGGCAUUGAUACUGUAGGGCUUGAGUGUAGUCGAGGUAGGCGGAAUUGACGGUGUAGCGGUGAAAUGCUUCGAUAUCGUCAAGAACACCGAUAGUGUAGACAGCUUACUAGGCUACAACUGACGCUGAGGCACGAAAGUGUGGGGAUCAAACAGG
rnacentral:rRNA from 1 species